CAGUCGCCGCGGUAAUACAGAGGGUGCGAGCGUUAAUCGGAUUUACUGGGCGUAAAGCGUGCGUAGGCGGCUUCUUAAGUCGGAUGUGAAAUCCCUGAGCUUAACUUAGGAAUUGCAUUCGAUACUGGGAAGCUAGAGUAUGGGAGAGGAUGGUAGAAUUCCAGGUGUAGCGGUGAAAUGCGUAGAGAUCUGGAGGAAUACCGAUGGCGAAGGCAGCCAUCUGGCCUAAUACUGACGCUGAGGUACGAAAGCAUGGGGAGCAAACAGGAUUAGAUACCCCAGUAGUCCCUGUUUCUUAUAA
rnacentral:rRNA from 1 species